GUUAUAGCUGUAAAACUGAAAUAAGGUUAAGUAUGCUGACUGGAAUCAAGUUGUGUUAUAGCUGUAAAACUGAAAUAAAGUAAAGUAUGCUGACUGGAACUAAGUUGUGUUAUAACUGGAAAACUGAAAUAAGGUUAAGUAUGCUGACUGGAACUAAGUUGUGUUAUAGCUGUAAAACUGAAAUAAAGUAAAGUAUACAGACUGGAACUAAGUUGUGUUAUAGCUGUAAAACUGAAAUAAAGUUAAGUAUGCUAACUGGAACUAAGUUGUGUUAUAGCUGUAAAACUGAAAUAAGGAUAAGUAUGCAGACUGGAACUAAGUUGUGUUAUAGCCGUAAAACUGAAAUAAAGUAAAGUAUGCAGACUGGAAUCAAGUUGUGUUAUAGCUGGAAAACUGAAAUAAGGUUAAAUAUGCAGACUGGAAUCAAGUUGUGUUAUAGCUGUAAAACUGAAAUAAGGAUAAGUGUGCAGACUGGAACUAAGUUGUGUUAUAGCUGGAAAACUGAAAUAAGGUUAAGUAUGCAGACUGGAAUCAAGUUGUGUUAUAGCUGGAAAACUGAAAUAAGGUUAAGUAUGCAGACUGGAAUCAAGUUGUGUUAUAUAACUGGAAAACUGAAAUAAGGUUAAGUAUGCUGACUGGAACUAAGUUGUGUUAUAGCUGUAAAACUGAAAUAAAGUAAAGUAUACAGACUGGAACUAGAUUGUGUUAUAGCUGUAAAACUGAAAUAAGGUUAAGUAUGCUGACUGGAACUAAGUUGUGUUAUAGCUGUAAAACUGAAAUAAAGUAAAGUAUGCAGACUGGAAUCAAAUUGUGUUAUAACUGGAAAACUGAAACAAGGUUAAGUAUGCUGACUGGAAUCAAGCUGUGUUAUAUAACUGGAAAACUGAAAUAAGGUUAAGUAUGCUGACUGGAACUAAGUUGUGUUAUAGCUGGAAAACUGAAAUAAGGAUAAGUAUGCAGACUGGAACUAAGUUGUGUUAUAGCUGUAAAACUGAAAUAAGGUUAAGUAUGCUGACUGGAACUAAGUUGUGUUAUAGCUGUAAAACUGAAAUAAGGUUAAGUAUGCUGACUGGAAUCAAGUUGUGUUAUAUAACUGGAAAACUGAAAUAAGGUUAAGUAUGCUGACUGGAACUAAGUUGUGUUAUAGCUGUAAAACUGAAAUAAGGUUAAGUAUGCAGACUGGAACUAAGUUGUG
rnacentral:lncRNA from 1 species